rnacentral:rRNA from 1 species
UAACGCGAAGAACCUUACCAGGUCUUGACAUCUUUUGACCACCUAAGAGAUUAGGUUUUCCCUUCGGGGACAAAAUGACAGGUGGUGCAUGGCUGUCGUCAGCUCGUGUCGUGAGAUGUUGGGUUAAGUCCCGCAACGAGCGCAACCCUUGUUGUCAGUUGCCAUCAUUAAGUUGGGCACUCUGGCGAGACUGCCGGUGACAAACCGGAGGAAGGUGGGGAUGACGUCAAGUCAUCAUGCCCCUUAUGACCUGGGCUACACACGUGCUACAAUGGACGAUACAACGAGUCGCGAGACCGCGAGGUUAAGCUAAUCUCUUAAAGUCGUUCUCAGUUCGGAUUGCAGGCUGCAACUCGCCUGCAUGAAGUCGGAAUCGCUAGUAAUCGUGGAUCAGCAUGCCGCGGUGAAUA